UACGUAGGGUGCGAGCGUUAAUCGGAAUUACUGGGCGUAAAGCGUGCGCAGGCGGUUCGCUAAGACCGAUGUGAAAUCCCCGGGCUUAACCUGGGAACUGCAUUGGUGACUGGCGGGCUAGAGUAUGGCAGAGGGGGGUAGAAUUCCACGUGUAGCAGUGAAAUGCGUAGAGAUGUGGAGGAAUACCGAUGGCGAAGGCAGCCCCCUGGGCUAACACUGACGCUCAGGCACGAAAGCGUGGGGAGCAAACAGG
rnacentral:rRNA from 1 species